CGGGUACAACGAGAAGCGAACCUGCGAAGGCAAGCGGAUCUCUUAAAGCCGUUCUCAGUUCGGACUGUAGGCUGCAACUCGCCUACACGAAGCUGGAAUCGCUAGUAAUCGCGGAUCAGCACGCCGCGGUGAAUACGUUCCCGGGCCUUGUACACACCGCCCGUCACACCAUGAGAGUCUGUAACACCCAAAGCCGGUGGGAUAACCUUUAUAGGAGUCAGCCGUCUAAGGUAGGACAGAUGAUUAGGGUGAAGUCGUAACAAGGUAAC
rnacentral:rRNA from 1 species